rnacentral:rRNA from 1 species
UACGAAGGGGGCUAGCGUUGUUCGGAUUUACUGGGCGUAAAGCGCACGUAGGCGGAUCUUUAAGUCAGGGGUGAAAUCCCGAGGCUCAACCUCGGAACUGCCUUUGAUACUGGGGAUCUCGAGUCCGGGAGAGGUGAGUGGAACUGCGAGUGUAGAGGUGAAAUUCGUAGAUAUUCGCAAGAACACCAGUGGCGAAGGCGGCUCACUGGCCCGAUACUGACGCUGAGGCACGAAAGCGUGGGGAGCAAACAGG